GACGUAGGGCGCGAGCGUUGUCCGGAUUUAUUGGGCGUAAAGAGCUCGUAGGCGGUCUGUCGCGUCGGCUGUGAAAACUCGGGGCUCAACUCCGAGCUUGCAGUCGAUACGGGCAGGCUAGAGUUCGGCAGGGGAGACUGGAAUUCCUGGUGUAGCGGUGAAAUGCGCAGAUAUCAGGAGGAACACCGGUGGCGAAGGCGGGUCUCUGGGCCGAUACUGACGCUGAGGAGCGAAAGCGUGGGGAGCGAACGGG
rnacentral:rRNA from 1 species